rnacentral:lncRNA from 9 species
CGUCCUCCUCUCCUCCUCUCCCCCCCCCCCCCCCCCCCCGCUUUUACCAAGCUUCUCCUCGGCGGGUCUGGGCUCGCUCUACCCAGUAGGAAAGAGGGGGGAGGGGGCUUUCUUGUUUACUAUAGGCACAGGAUGCACUUGUAACCUCACACGCUAAAAUACAACUUUCAGGCUGCAUUGUGAAUCUCUGCUGCUCCCACUGCCUAACUACUGGCUGUGACUGCUAAGCAUCUACCGCGAGCGCUGCCUUAUUCUGUGCCAAGCCCCAAGCCCCGACCAGGCACUGCAGGCCAAGGUGCUCCGGAGAAGACAAGGGUGAGGCUAAGCUUAGCACAUGCCAGGCAUCCUCUCCUAUGGAAAUUCUUGGAGAUGGAGGGAAAAGUACUAGCACACCCACAGUAAGGCUUCCUCUGAAGGACAGAGCUGGAGGACAGCUACCACCGGGAAGGAGAAUCAAGUUCUGGUACUGCUGCCCCUCCCACCCGCCUUGCUCCGCAAACACCAACCUCUUCACUCAACGGCUGUGAAAUUAGACCAUGUCAUCAGGCUAAAUAGGAAAUUGAAUAAUUUAUGCAAAAUGAAAUUCCCACGAAAGGAGGCCUGUUCUUCUAAUGAUUAAGCUUAGCAUCACCAGUGGGCAGCCAGUGAUUGCUCGAGGGAUGGACAGUCCAACGUCGGGAGACUUCAGUCACAAAUCGGACACUUACUGAAUGUGCUUCCUGCCGGUUAUUUAAUGGCUCCAUUUUUCAACUCGUUCGCUUGUAAAAUAACCGUGUUGAACUAGAAUCUGAAUUUUAGACUUGGAAUUGCCCUAAAAUGAAGGGGAGAGGAAGUACCUAUUAUGGACAAGAACGUAAUAGACAGGUGUUAAUCACCUUUAUUCCACAUAGGAAGAAACAUACCUAAAAGGGUAAGAACAUUGACAAGGUGGUGACUGAGCUAGGAUUCAGGCCUCUGCCGUCUGACUCCUUCUCUUUAGGAUUUUGUAGGUUGGGGAAGUGAGGUGUCAGUGGGCUGAAUGAUUUGUGCAGGGUACGUAGCACGUUGGCAGGUUGGCAAGUUAGCAAGUUAUCAAGGUAGAGUUGAGGCCAGAACCCAGAUUUAUUGAUGCCAAUCAUGUUUUUACUUUUUCUCCCUUUUAAAUGUGGGUGCAGAUUCAAAUUAUGUGUAGUCCUCAAUUUAUUGUUGACUAACAUCCAUUAAACCAUUAUUGCUACCAUCUUGGUUUAUUAUAUUUUUCCGUUUCAUUUUCCACCCUCUCUGUAAUUUGCCUUGGGGUGGGGAUGGAAGGGGGAUAUUUUUGGAUCUGUUAUGGCAGGUCACUAAUUUGUUCUUUGGCUAUGUACCUUCGACUGUGUAGCCUAGCUCUCAAGUUUGGUAUUUUAACCAUCUUAAAAAUAUAAUCAAGAGUUCCCACUGUGGCUCUCCUGGUUAAGAACCUGGCAGAGUGUCUGUGAGGAUGUGGGUUCAAUCCCUGGCUUCGCUGAGUAGGUUAAGGAUUAUAGAUCGCCAGCGUGGCUUGGAUCCAGUGUUGCUGUGACUGUGGUGUACGUCAGCAGCUAUAGCUCCGAUUCAACCCCUAGCCUUAGGAACUGCCAUAUGCCACAGAUAUGGCAGUAAAACAAUAUAUUAUAUAUAAAUAUAACAUAUUAUUAUAUAUGUUAUAUAUAUUACAUAUAUAUUAUAUAUGUCUAAUCAGUAUAUAACAUAUAUUAUAUAUAAUAUAGGUAACAUAUAUAUAAUCAUUCCCCUCUAUACCUUCUUAUCACUGCAUCACAUUGUAAAUAGCCU